rnacentral:rRNA from 1 species
UACGUAGGGGGCAAGCGUUGUCCGGAAUCAUUGGGCGUAAAGAGCGUGUAGGCGGUCCGGUAAGUCGGCUGUGAAAGUCCAGGGCUCAACCCUGGGAUGCCGGUCGAUGCUGCCGGACUAGAGUUCGGAAGAGGCGAGUGGAAUUCCCGGUGUAGCGGUGAAAUGCGCAGAUAUCGGGAGGAACACCUAUGGCGAAGGCAGCUCGCUGGGACGUUACUGACGCUGAGACGCGAAAGCGUGGGGAGCAAACAGG